rnacentral:rRNA from 1 species
UACGGGGGGGGGCAAGCGUUGUUCGGAAUUACUGGGCGUAAAGGGCUCGUAGGCGGCCAACUAAGUCAGACGUGAAAUCCCUCGGCUUAACCGGGGGAACUGCAUCUGAUACUGGAUGGCUAGAGAUUGGGAGAGGGAUGCGGAAUUCCAGGUGUAGCGGUGAAAUGCGUAGAUAUCUGGAGGAACACCGGUGGCGAAGGCGGCAUCCUGGACCAACACUGACGCUGAUGAGCGAAAGCCAGGGGAGCAAACGGG